AGUAUCCUGAAGGAACGUUGAAGACGACGACGUUGAUAGGCCGGGUGUGUAAGCGCAGCGAUGCGUUGAGCUAACCGGUACUAAUGAACCGUGAGGCUUAACCUUACAACGCCGAAG
rnacentral:rRNA from 1 species